AGAUUCUCCUGGAGAAGGAAAUGGCAACCUGCUCUGUUCCAGACAAAACUCAGCAGAUAAUCUCAGCGCUUGCACCACGACUGCUAAUCCUGCACGCAAGACAGACAGCACGAAACGAACAGGAUGGCAGACAGCACCAAUCGAUGGCGGACAGUCUUUCCCACUGAGCAAAUCCUUCUCAACGCUGUGCUUCCAAGUGGCCAUUAGGAAUCAAUUCAUCUUGAUGAAGAAGCCAAAACUCAUUUGCCGUUCCCAAUUCUUGAGCAUGACCUCCAGAAAUUCCUGAAAUCAUUGAAAAUGACUCAGAGUAUUUCCCUCAGGGAGUCUGAUCCUGCUGACUCUUAAUUCUCUCCUGCUAACCUACCCCCACCACUGUCUCUGUUCCCGAGGGAUUUCGGGAUUUGGAGUUUUGCUACCCCACCCCCCUCCUCGUUUCUUUCUUUUUUUUUUAAACAGAAAAAGAAACCGAAGCCCCAGAGAUUAAAAGACUCGCUCAAGGUCACAGAAUGAGUUUGCAUCAAAUUUGAAGUAAAA
ensembl:lncRNA